UGCCGGGGGCGUAGCGGCAGGUGUCGGUGCGUAGACGGUAGGGGCCCAAGGGGAGGCGCCAAGGGAGUAGGCCGAAGCGGCUCAGCAGCGCGUAGAAGCAGGAGGGGAGGCACCGCAGGAAGCGGCCAGAUGGGAGGGGCUACGCCAGACGUGGAUGCCUGAGGGGAGGAGGCAGUCGUCGAGGUCAGCGGUGGGGGCGUCACCUUACUUAGUGAGGGUGCUCUACCUCCCUCCGUGCGGCAGCUGGUACCGUAGUCCCCGCCGGGUCUUCUGAAGUUCAAUCAACCAAGGAGAGGGGCUACC
rnacentral:rRNA from 1 species